rnacentral:piRNA from 1 species
UGUAUUGAAUGCCAGGGAGACUGUAGUCCUU